AGUGAACGCUGGCGGUAGGCCUAACACAUGCAAGUCGAACGGCAGCACAGUAAGAGCUUGCUCUUACAGGUGGCGAGUGGCGGACGGGUGAGGAAUACAUCGGAAUCUACUUUUUCGUGGGGGAUAACGUAGGGAAACUUACGCUAAUACCUCAUACGACCUACGGGUGAAAGCAGGGGAUCUUCUGACCUUGCGCGAUUGAAUGAGCCGAUGUCGGAUUAGCUAGUUGGCGGGGUAAAGGCCCACCAAGGCGACGAUCCGUAGCUGGUCUGAGAGGAUGAUCAGCCACACUGGAACUGAGACACGGACCAGACUCCUACGGGAGGCAGCAGUGGGGAAUAUUGGACAAUGGGCGGAAGCCUGAUCCAGCCAUACCGCGUGGGUGAAGAAGGCCUUCGGGUUGUAAAGCCCUUUUGUUGGGAAAGAAAAGCAGCAGGUUAAUAACACGCUGUUCUGACGGUACCCAAAGAAUAAGCACCGGCUAACUUCGUG
rnacentral:rRNA from 1 species